UACAUGGGGUGCAAACGUUGCUCGGAAUUAUUGGGCGUAAAGCGCGCGUAGGCGGUUACUCAAGUCGGAUGUGAAAGCCCUGGGCUUAACCUAGGAAGUGCACUCGAAACUUCCGAGCUUGAGUUCUGGAGAGGAAGGCGGAAUUCUCGGUGUAGAGGUGAAAUUCGUAGAUAUCAAGCGGAACACCGGUGGCGAAGGCGGCCUUCUGGACGAUGACUGACGCUGAGACGCGAAAGCGUGGGGAGCAAACAGG
rnacentral:rRNA from 1 species